rnacentral:pre_miRNA from 1 species
AACAUACUCCCUCCAUCCGAAAAUACUUGUUAAAAAAAGAUAAAAGUGGAUGUAUUUAGAACUAAAAUAUGUCUAGAUACAUCCAUUUCUCCAGCAAGUAUUUUCGGACGGAGGGAGUACUUA